UAACCAUUGAUGAAAUUCUGUUGAGUGUCCCCAAUUUUCGGAAAAGAAUUGCAUAGGCGUUGUUCAAUCAAGUCAUUUAUUGUUUUGUUUCGCUAUAUUUUCUUUUCAAAUUGUCAUUCUUUUUCUUCUGUUUUGUUCUCAAUUCUUCUUCUGUUUGAGGAAAUUUGAUUAUAUUGCAUGUCCAGCUAUGCGAUGCACUUUGUUCAUUUUAACUUUGGAUAUAUGCGCCUCGCUAUGAACAUGUUCAUUUUUGUAGUGACCAGAUAGGGGAUUCCAAUAGCAUGAUGAAGGCUGAGGAUUAAUUCUAGUGGAGGGAUAUAUUUAGCUCAGACGAGGAUGAGAAAAAUGGAGUGGAGAUUACAAGGAGAGGUAAGAAAUAAAAAAGGAACGGAUGGGUUUUCUGCUUGGCUGUAUAGCAUGUUUGAGUUUUUCAGUUGUGUCUAUGUUCAAGUUUAUGAUAUGCUGUGGUUGGUUCUGUUGAUUUCACACGUUUUACUUCCAUAUAGUGUGUUGACGGAAACUCCGCGUUAAGGUUUAUUAUAAGGAAAUUUUGAAUUUGUUCUUUUUAUGUUGUUUUACCCUCUUUGCAAUUUUUUCCUUCUUUUUUUAUCCUCAUCUUUUCUGAAUGCAUCUAUUACACAUGCGGUUUUAAUUCACUGUUUUUUAAUUGCAAUGGGAGUUUUCUUUGUGUUGUUGCAUGAUUGGACGUGGGCAAGGUUUCUAUUUUCAAACUUGGUGCACUGUGGUGCAAUGCAUUGUUGCUUGCAAUACAUGAUGUUGCUUUGGCUAGAGAAGUGGAGGGGGGGAAAUACGAAGGAAAGAAAGAUAAGAAAUCAAAAUGGAGCAAGACAUUGAUUAGAUACAAUUAUGUUAUGUGCAUAUUUGAUUACUAGAAGUUGGAGAGAUUCGACGGUUUACAGAAGUCAUAAAUUUAAAUAUCCCGUUUAAUCGCUCAUCUAUUAAAAUUGAUAGUAGAAUGUAGUUUCAUACCCGGGAGAAAUUU
rnacentral:snoRNA from 1 species